GACGAACGCUGGCGGCGUGCCUAAUACAUGCAAGUCGAACGCAGUGGGGACGGGUGAGUAACACGUGGGUAACCUCCCAUCAGAGGGGAUAACACUUGGAAACAGGUGCUAAACCGAUACUGAUGGAUGGACCCGCGGUGCAGUUGCUAGUUGGUGAGGUAACGGCUCACGAAGGCCACGAUGCAUAGCGGACCGUAGAGGGUGAUGGGCCACACGGGGACUGAGACACGGCCCAGACUCCUACGGGAGGCAGCAGUAGGGAAUCUUGGGCAAUGUACGAAAGUCUGACCGAGCACCGCCGCGUGAGUGAAGAAGGUUUUCGGGUCGUAAAUCUCUGUUGUUAGAGAAGCGGUAUCUAACCAGAAAGCCACGGCUAACUCCGUGCCAGCCGCCGCGGUAAUUC
rnacentral:rRNA from 1 species